GGAGUUGGCCAGACAACCGCUGCUUUAUCGUAGUCCCUUCGGGAGACGGGUAGAGGGGAGGAAAGUCCGGGCUCCAUAGGGCAGGGUGCCAGAUAACGUCUGGGAGGCGCGAGCCUACGACAAGUGCAACAGAGAGCAAACCGCCGAUGGCCUGUUUUACAGGCACAGGUAAGGGUGAAAGGGUGCGGUAAGAGCGCACCGCGCGACUGGCAACAGUUCGUGGCAUGGUAAACUCCACCCGGAGCAAGACCAAAUAGGGGUUCAUAUGGUGCGGCCCGCAUUGAACUCGGGUAGGUUGCUGGAGCCAGUGCGCAAGUGCUGGCCUAGAUGAAUGGUUGUCCACGACAGAACCCGGCUUAUCGGCCAACUCCAAUU
rfam:Providencia burhodogranariea DSM 19968 genomic scaffold scaffold00002, whole genome shotgun sequence.